UCCAGACUCCUACGGGAGGCAGCAGUGAGGAAUAUUGGUCAAUGGUCGGGAGACUGAACCAGCCAAGCCGCGUGAGGGAGGAAGGUACAGAGUAUCGUAAACCUCUUUUGUCAGGGAACAAAGACUGGGACGCGUCCCCGGAUGAGUGUACCUGAAGAAAAAGCAUCGGCUAACUCCGUGCCAGCAGCCGCGGUAAUACGGAGGGGGCGAGCGUUGUUCGGAGUGACUGGGCGUAAAGAGCACGUAGGCGGUGUGUCAAGUCUGAUGUUAAAGCCCGGGGCUCAACUCCGGUUCGGCAUUGGAUACUGGCAAACUAGAAUGUGGUAGAGGUAAAGGGAAUUCCUGGUGUAGCGGUGAAAUGCGUAGAUAUCAGGAGGAACAUCGGUGGCGAAAGCGCUUUACUGGACCAUUAUUGACGCUGAGGAACGAAAGCCAGGGGAGCAAAUGGGAUUAGAUACCCGUGUAC
rnacentral:rRNA from 1 species